rnacentral:rRNA from 1 species
AUGCCUGUCAGUGUAUACUGUGUCUCUGGCACGGUAAGAUGCAAAUCUGAUGGAGAAGUUUGGUCGAUCAUUGGUGUCUACGGGUCGCAGAUGGAAGCAGAGAAGAUCUUGUUCAUUGAUGAAAUGAAGAGUUUAAGCCAGCUUGCGCUGCCGCAGUGGAUGAUGCUUGGAGACUUUAACAUGAUCUAUAGAGCCAAUGACAAGAGCAAUAACAAUCUUAAUCUGCGCAUGAUGGGUCGCUUCAGGACUGCCAUAGAGGACAUGGGGCUAAUUGAUCUUCCGCUCCUUGGAAGGCGUUUUACAUGGUCCAAUGAGCGGGAAAGUGUCACGCUCACUAAAAUUGAUAGAAUGCUUGUGUCCAGUGAUUGGGAGGCUUCGUUCCCACAGUACCAACUGUCACCAGCUUCGACGAAUGUGUCUGAUCACUGCCCAAUUAUUCUGAAAAAGAUGGAGUGCUCACACUACAAGGCGUUCAGAUUCCGGAAUCAUUGGCUAAAAGCCCAAGGCUUCGAUGACAUUGUCAGCCAGGCAUGGACCAGGGAGGUCAAAUCCGCGGAUCUAGUGAGGGUGCUGCACACCAAACUAUCCAGAACGGCGAGGGCCUUACGUUUCUGGAACAAGCAGAGAAUGAGGUGGGCUGUUUUCAUGUCCAAGGUGGCAAGCGAAAUCAUUUUCAGUCUUGAUCUGGCCCAGGAGGAAAGAGCUCUCUCUGACGAGGUGUGUUGGUUGCGCGGUUUGCUCAAGGUCAGGUUGUUGGGCCUGGUGGCAAUUGAUAGAACGAGAUGGAGACAAAAGUCUAGACUGACGGAAAUACAAGAAGGUGAUGCAAGCACCAGGUUUUUUCACCAAAGGGCUAGUGGGCGGCGGUGA